GGAGUCGGCCGGACAGUCGCGUCGCGCGCAAGCGCGUCGAGGAAAGUCCGGGCUCCAUAGGGCAGAGUGCCAGGUAACGCCUGGGCGGCGCGAGCCGACGGCCAGUGCAACAGAGAGCAGACCGCCGAUGGCCCGCAAGGGCACAGGUAAGGGUGAAAGGGUGCGGUAAGAGCGCACCGCGUACGGGGCCAACGUCGUACGGCACGGUAAACCCCACUCGGAGCAAGACCAAAUAGGGGAACGAUAACGCGGCCCGCGUUGUUCCCGGGUAGGUUGCUGGAGCCAGGUGGCGACGCCUGGCCGAGAGGAAUGACUGUCGCGCCGCAAGGCGUACAGAACCCGGCUUACAGGCCGACUCCGCCU
rnacentral:RNase_P_RNA from 1 species